UCUGGAAACUNUCUGACUUGAGUGCAGAAGGGGAGAGUGGAAUUCCAUGUGUAGCGGUGAAAUGCGUAGAUAUAUGGAGGAACACCAGUGGCGAAAGCGGCUCUCUGGUCUGUCACUGACGCUGAGGCUCGAAAGCGUGGGUAGCGAACAGGAUUAGAUACCCUGGUAGUNCACGCCGUAAACGACGAGUGCUAGGUGUUAGGCCCUUUCCGGGGCUUAGUGCCGGAGCUAACGCAAUAAGCACUCCGCCUGGGGAGUACGACCGCAAGGUUGAAACUCAAAGGAAUUGACGGGGGCCCGCACAAGCGGUGGAGCAUGUGGUUUAAUUCGAAGCAACGCGAAGAACCUUACCAGGUCUUGACAUCCCGAUGCUAUUCUUAGAGAUAGGAAGUUACUUCGGUACAUCGGAGACAGGUGGUGCAUGGUUGUCGUCAGCUCGUGUCGUGAGAUGUUGGGUUAAGUCCCGCAACGAGCGCAACCCUUAUUGUUAGUUGCCAUCAUUAAGUUGGGCACUCUAGCGAGACUGCCGGUAAUAAACCGGAGGAAGGUGGGGAUGACGUCAAAUCAUCAUGCCCCUUAUGACCUGGGCUACACACGUGCUACAAUGGUCGGUACAACGAGUUGCGAGCCGGUGACGGCAAGCUAAUCUCUGAAAGCCGAUCUCAGUUCGGAUUGGAGGCUGCAACUCGCCUCCAUGAAGUCGGAAUCGCUAGUAAUCGCGGAUCAGCACGCCGCGGUGAAUACGUUCCCGGGCCUUGUACACACCGCCCGUCACACCACGAGAGUUUGUAACACCCGAAGUCGGU
rnacentral:rRNA from 1 species